CCAGUUUCUUCUGCUGCGGAUCCAAGUGGAAAUCAUUCAGCAGUGAACAACUUUGUGUGCAGCUGUCCUCCCUGCACAACCAUGCGGACAGCAAGGAGUUCAUCUGAUUACAACAGUUUGUGCAGGAGCUGGUUGUCUUAGAAAGAGCAACAUUUUUGGAGCAGCUACAGUGCAACCUGUUUCCAGGGUGGAGGUUUUGUAAUCCUGUCUUCUGGGGGCCUAUGAAGACGCAUGUGAAAAAAGGCAAGAUAAGAACAGUGAUUAUUCUCUGUGGAGGGAUGUGCUCUACUCAUCAAGGUCCAAAAAGCUCCUGUGUUUAUUUGUCUGGCAUUUGCUGUGGUGAGUAAUAUAUUUGUCCCUCCCGUAGCAGGGAGGAAAACUUGCUGAGUUGGUAGGGGCUGGAGUGGAAGGCGUCAGUUCAGUCUGCCUCUGUCUCUGUCCUGCCGUGCUGGUGAUGUGUGAGAGCCUGCUGGUGGAACCCACAGUGUUUUCAGGGUUAGAAGUGGCCAGAAACCUGUCACAGGGCAG
rnacentral:lncRNA from 1 species